rnacentral:misc_RNA from 1 species
CAAGAAGCGCCGAAAGGCUGCUUAUAACCAUCGCGAACCUAUCCAUCAGCGUUGCUUCGGCGGGAGCGCUCGCGGGCCCGAUCCUCCGGGCCCCGAGCCGGGGCUCCACCCCUGGGUGGGGCCGCCCGCCGGAGGUACGAACCUCUUUUGCAUCUCUGUGGCAUCUCUGAGUAAACAAGCAAGUAAUCA